GAAAUGCGAUAAGUAAUGUAAAUUGCAGAAUUCAGUGAAUCAUCGAAUCUUUGAACGCACCUUGCGCUCCUUGGUAUUCCUUGGAGCAUGCCUGUUUGAGUAUCAUGAAAUCUUCAAAGUAAAUCUUUUGUUAACUCAAUUGGUUUCUACUUUGGUAUUGGAGGUCUUUGCAGCUUCACACCUGCUCCUCUUUGUUCAUUAGCUGGAUCUCAGUGUUAUGCUUGGUUCCACUCGGCGUGAUAAGUUAUCUAUCGCUGAGGACACUGUAAAAGGUGGCCAAGGUAAAUGCAGAUGAGCCGCUUCUAAUAGUCCAUUGACUUGGACAAUACUUUUAUGAUCUGAUCUCAAAUCAGGUAGGACUACCCGCUGAACUUAAGC
rnacentral:misc_RNA from 1 species